GAACCAUUCUGGCUGCUGCCUGGGGAACUGUGUGUUAGGGAGCUGGGAUAGAAGCAAGGGACCUUUGGGGACCAGUCAAGGGAUCCUGGUAGCUUAGACGAAGGGUGAGCCUGCUUCUAACAACUCCCUCAAAAGGCUCUGUAACCCGUCCAAAAGAUGAUGUCAAGUGCUACAAGGACCCAGAGUCAUGGCUGUGGAGGCAGCUCGUGAAUCAACCGGAGCCCAAAUGGCAACCAUGUUCCCAUUAUCCAUCUGUUGUGUUUCCUCACAAAGGUUUAAGUACAAGAUUGAUCGUGCAUAUCUGACAACGUGAAGUACCUCUGAGUAAAGAAACUAGAAACAGUUUCUCACUCUGGACAAAAGAAAGAGGACAUAUAUCCAGAAGACAAAUGGUGAAAAUUCAAUCCGUAAGUACAUAGAAGAUACCUGUGCUGGUAAGAAGGAAAGGAAGCACCGAGAGAUCUGGAAUUUGAAAUAAAUGGAUUGAAAGUGCCUAGACAAAGUUGACUUAGAAAAAAAUAUAGCCUUCCUUAAAGCAAAUGUAACUAGUGAGAAACCAUGUUCCACUAAAAACAAGCCUUAUGUAGAGAAGAGCAAAGAAUUUUAAAAGCAUGAACCUAAAAUUAAACCAGCUACAACUAAAGGGAAGAACCAGAUUGUUUGCUCCAAUGAAGAGUUUAUUACUGUUGGCAUAAAUAAAGCUAAAAUAUUUUCAAUUUUAAAGAGACAACAAAAGCUGGGAACUGUGUUGUGUGGAUGGUAAUCAACAUGGGGAUUAAAAACACAGAAGCACAGAGCGUCUGCUGUUGGGAUCCUCACUGUGCAAGGUGGAGAGUAGACUUACUGACACUUGCUGAUGCAAACACAGGAAGACCCAUUUCAUGAUACUCCACAGCUACUGCCCAGCCUGCUCCAACACCGGCUGCCUACACAAGCUCAGCCUAACCCAGGACAGCCAGUGCGUCCACUGUUACAAAGUCUGACUCUGAUCCUUCCUCAGUGCUACCUAUUUCUUUCUCUGUGACCUUUCUUUUUUGGGAAGAAAACCCACUUUGUCAAUGACUCCGGAUUCCAUGGGAUUUUAGGAGGGUCUCCUUUCUUUCCUUCUUCAUCCUAAAAGGUGACUUUGGAAGUAGGAAGGAAGAAGAGAAAAGUUAGAAAAGUAAUAUAAUCGCAAUAUAGUUCUUUACCUUCGAAGCUCCUUCCCACACUUAAUCUCAUCCAAUACUACACUACCAGGUGACAGAGCAAGUGUUCUUAAGCCCAUUUUGCAGAUAAAGAGCCUGAGGCUCAGAGAGGUUAAGUGCUUUGCCCAAGUUCACACAGCUGGAAAAAGAAGUCCAGGACAGGAACACGGACUCCCAAUCUUGUACUUUUUCCAGAACACAUCAGAUUUCAUCACAGGAAGCAUACGCUACUUUCCACAAAGAGCUUUGGAAUAGAAUAGAUGACAAAAUGUAGUUUUCAGUUCUUGUUUGUUUGUGUAUGUUGUUACUGCUGCUUCACUUUACAUUUCAAAGUGCUAUAUUUAUUAUCCAUCUUCUUGAGAGGCACGUAAUUAUGUUUUAUAUGUUUUAAUUUAGACAACUAUAGCUUUUAGUUAUCUGUUACUUUUGUGCCCUUGGGAUUUCUCUACAGAUAAAUACAUAGAUACAUAGAUGUCAAAAAGAGAUAUAUAGAUAAUAGACCUUCUGGUAUUGACAGUAACAUAUUCAUUCCUUCUUGUUUCCUAAAGAAAUAGUUUUACUUGAUAAUAUUUUGAGUUUUUCUCUAAAUCCCAUUCAAAACUUAUGCAAAUUGUUAAUGUCCACAGAUUUCCAAAACAAGAGUUUAGGAGGAAAUCUUAACCGCAGUAUCCCCAAUAUCUUCCAAUGAUUUUAAAGUUUCACUAGAGGGCACUCCCACUUCAUGGCCAGGAGGCAGUAAGGACAAAGGACCAUAGUGGUCUGGAUGCUUAACUCCUGUACCUACUAUUUUGUUUUCUUUCUCACUCUCUCUCCUCUUUCUCACCCAUUGUGUAAAGAAUAUAGUGAAAUUAUACAGGUCUUCCUUUAAACAUAUAAAUAGAAAUGAACUACAUUGAAAAGCUAGCUAACAUCUGCAACUGUGAAUUAUGGUUCAUCUUGUGACAUAGAGCACAUCUUGGAAAUCUGCACUGAAGUUUUGGUUGUCAACCUAUAUAAGAGUACAAGAUAUAGCAUGAGAUGUUAGUUUAGUAUAUCAAGAAUAUGUCUUUAUUGGGCAACUUGGGGGGGGGUGGGAAUUGUUGCUAAGAACUUAUUUCCAACUUGUAAGAUCUUCAUUGUUCCCUUUCCUGGCAAAUCUUUGGGUAAACCCAAAUUACAAAGGUAUGUGGAAAGGUCAGGAAAUGGGGGAAUUAAAGAAAGAUCCAAAUGGACAAUCAAAUGAAAUUGCUUUAGAGUAAAUGAAACAUUAGGUUCUGCUCUGUAGUUUCCACACUUUUAUGUAUCAAAGAUCUGAAGAUAUUUAAAUCACAUAUGUUAGCAAAACAAUAAAUAGAGCAUUUCUUGUGGGAGGAAAAUAAGGUAUUUCAAAGUCAGAAGGAAAGUAGCCUAUUGCCAAGUGUAGAACCCCACAGAGCCCUCAGGCUUGAAGUUUUAAACUGAUCUCAACCCUUUGGGGGUUUGAAUUUCUUUACUGUUGGCAAAACAUAACUUCCUGCUUCAAAGAGAAAUGGCAUUAAGAAGGCCUAUUACAUAGAGAUUCCAAAGACUUCUUGGACACCAAAUCACUAUUACAAAACACCAUUUUGAUGAGUUUAGUAAAGAUUAAUCAGAAACAUAUGGAUUAAGUUUUCCUUUAAAAUUAUUUUGGUUUAUAAAAUAAGGGAAAAAAAGAGAGGAAUGGUAAAAUAUGUUUCAGGCUUUGCAAUGCCCCCCAAACAUUUGAAAAGUGACUAAAAGUGCUGAUGGACCCAGGGAAGUAACCAGAUUUUCCCUGUGUCAACCUGAACCAUCCUUAUUUGAUUUAAAUUUAAAGGCAAAAUAAACAUUGUAACUUUCUGCCAUUAUUGUCCACAGAGAGAAACAUAUAUUUGCUUCUCAACCUUGGACUUACAAAUUUCAAUGGAAAUGUAGGCUUAUGUGUUCAUUUCACAAUGAUGCAAACUUAAUUAUUCAUAUGUCCUAAAAGGUUUCAUAUUGUUUAAAUAGAAGGCAGUGCUUCUAAAGUCUAAGCUGAGGAUUCCUUGGUAAAUUUAUCUGAAAUAGCUAAUUAUUAGAAUUAAAUUCUUCUCUAACAGCUCUACAAGUAAAAUACACAUGACAUAAAAGACCUACAAUGACCAUCAUUGAGGAAAUUUCUCACUGCAAUGAGUGAUAUCAGAACAACUUUACUACUAAUUACCAAACCAACCAACAGUGAGUAAGCCUUAAGCAAAUUGUGCUUUAAAGGAAUAUAAGUUGAAGAGAAAAGAAAGCAUAAGUAAUUAGGAAUCGAUAAAAGAAAUCACUAGAAAUUAGUAGAUCCUCCUGAUUUUAUUCCCUCUAGUUCAAGUAAUCCUUUAGAAAUGAAUACAAUAAAAAAUAGAAUAAAACGAAAGUUGAGAUGCAACUAACUGAUUUCCUAAGUCAUGAGAUACAAAAAUUUUCCUUUCCUACAGAUAAAUCAAGGGAUAUUAGAAGAAUUUGCCCUUAUCUUUGGAAGAAAUAUAUAUAAUGACAGCACAUUUUAAUAUAGAAACAUAUUUUUUUCCAUGAUUAAAUGCUUAAUAACCAUGCAUAGAUGGAUUAAGCAAAUUUAGGAAGUCUUGUCUUCAAAAGUAUUUCUAGUAAAUGUUAUCCUUUGACACAACCAAAUAAAAAUGUUUUCCCCUGGGAGUGUGGUGAUGAACAGUUGGUCUAUAAUCAAAAGGUUCUUGCUAGAAAGCAUGUCCAGCUUUCCUUUUAAACGUGUACAUGGAAAAUAAUACCAACUUCUAUCAAGCAUUGGAUUUAGCCCGUUAUCAUGUGCAAAUGUACCUGCCUAUUAACUUCCAGAUUGGGCAGGUAUUUUACUAAGGUGCAGUAUUUCUAUCCCAGGUCAUAGCUUGAGUAUUCUCCCUUUCAAGGUCCCCAAAGCUUCAUCUGUCACUCUUAUUGUCAAAUGUUCUAUUUUUCCUGUCCCUGCCAGCAGUGAUUUCAAUUUGGGCUUGACUUCAAGACAGGCCACAUUGUAUCUGUGAUGUCAAUGGAAAGGGGAUAAAAGUCAUUAAAGAUAUUUGUUAUUUUGAAAGGUUAAAAGAGUUUUU